CAGCAGACACAUUCCAGCCAAUCAGCAGCAGACCCUCCCUCCCAGUCUGUCCCACCUCCUGGACAGCAUCCAUUUUACAUUCAUUGUGAAGCUGCAUUCUUAGUGAGCUGUCCAGGAGGUGGGAGAGUCUAGGAGGGAGGGUCUGCUGCUGAUUGGCUGGAAUGUGUCUGCU